GACGAACGCUGGCGGCGUGCUUAACACAUGCAAGUCGAACGAAGUGGCGAACGGGUGAGUAACGCGUAAUCAACCUGCCCUUCAGCGGGGGACAACAGUUGGAAACGACUGCUAAUACCGCAUACUGAAGGAGGGGAUUGCGUCUGAUUGGCUAGUUGGAUGGGUAACGGCCCAACAAGGCGAUGAUCAGUAGCCGUUCUGAGAGGAUGAACGGACACAUUGUGACUGAGAAACGGCCCAGACUGCUACGGGAGGCAGCAGUGGGGAAUCUGCCGAGAUGGACGAAAGUCUGACGGAGCAACGCCGCGUGAGUGAUGACGGCCUUCGGGUUGUAAAGCUCUGUUAUUCGGGACGCGGUACCGGAAUAGAAAGCCACGGCUAACUACGUGCCAGCAGCCGCGGUAAUUC
rnacentral:rRNA from 1 species